CUGCUCUGUCUGGCUAGUCUUUUAGUAAAGUUGUGUAAACGUUUUCAGAUAAACUGAAUAUUUUACAAACGUUAUCCAGGUUUACGUCCUACUCAAUUGGCUUUAUAUUACCAAGCACAUUCACGACAUGGUUGUUUAACGUUUAGCCACGCCCACAAACCCCCGUAAACGGCAAAGGGAGCGGAAGAUGGCGACUAAACGGUGAACGAGUGCCUCCUGAAGUGUAGCGUUAAAUCCUCCAAUAACGCAGCUCCGCUACCAUAGACACACUAACUCCACCCGCCACUUUUUAUAGGGUACCAAUACUUUCGAAGGAUGUUCGACAAGAACGAGUCAUUAAUACGAAACGACUCGGUUUCACGUGACUUUUAUUAAACUGAUUCAAUAACGUGAAAAAAAUUUCCAUCUGUGUAUCCAGAGCUUCGUGAUAUGAGAUUUACAACCGUAGUGUCUUAAUAGGAUCUUCCCUGUGUGUGUGUGUGGUGUGUGUAGGUUUGAGCCCUACAGAGGAGAUAAGAACCUGCCUGCCUAGCUUGGAGCCGUCGUGCAGCGAAGCAGAAGAGCAGCCGACCUCGCUGAGUGUGAGUGCGAAGAUUAAAGCGAUCGAAGCCAAGCUGCAGAUGAUGGAGGAGAACGUGGACGAGGAGUAACUCGGGCCCGUCGCCGUACCUUUACAACAAACCUCCCGAGAAGAAGGACAAGAGAUCUCAGCCUUAUAACAAACAGUUCCGCAGGUUCAAGAGAUGACCUCAUCCUCACACGCGCGCACACACACACACACGCACGCAGGCACACUGAGGACUUCUGGUUAAUAAAAACACACACUCUUUAAUGCGCUGUUCUGUCAGGACCGGAGGAGGAGGAAGACCUUCGUGUGGAACACUUCUCUCUUUCCCUGUGGAUUUUUUUUUUUUUAAAUGAAUAUUUUAAGGUUUUG
ensembl:lncRNA